rnacentral:rRNA from 1 species
AACGAACGCUGGCGGCAGGCCUAACACAUGCGAGUCGAACGCCCCGCCAGGGGAGUGGCAGACGGGUGAGUAACACGUGGGAACCUUCCCUAUAGUACGGAAUAGCCCAGGGAAACUUGGAGUAAUACCGUAUACGCCCGAAAGGGGAAAGAAUUUCGCUAUAGGAUGGGCCCGCGUAGGAUUAGCUAGUUGGUGAGGUAAUGGCUCACCAAGGCGACGAUCCUUAGCUGGUUUGAGAGAACGACCAGCCACACUGGGACUGAGACACGGCCCAGACUCCUACGGGAGGCAGCAGUGGGGAAUAUUGGACAAUGGGCGCAAGCCUGAUCCAGCCAUGCCGCGUGAGUGAUGAAGGCCUUAGGGUUGUAAAGCUCUUUUGGCGGGGACGAUAAUGACGGUACCCGCAGAAUAAGUCCCGGCUAACUUCGUG